rnacentral:rRNA from 1 species
UACAGAGGGGGCAAGCGUUGUUCGGAAUUACUGGGCGUAAAGGGCGCGUAGGCGGCCAACUAAGUCGGACGUGAAAUCCCCGGGCUCAACCCGGGAACUGCGUCCGAUACUGGAUGGCUUGAAUCCGGGAGAGGGAUGUGGAAUUCCAGGUGUAGCGGUGAAAUGCGUAGAUAUCGUAAGGAAGACCGGUGGCGAAGGCGGGUCUCUGGACAGUUCCUGACGCUGAGACACGAAGGCCAGGGGAGCAAACGGG